CUAAGAAUAUUCCGCAAUGGACGGAAGUCUGACGGAGCGACGCCGCGUGGAUGAAGAAGGCUGAAAAGUUGUAAAAUCCUUUUGUUGAUGAAGAAUAAGGGUGAGAGGGAAUGCUCAUCUGAUGACGGUAAUCGACGAAUAAGCCCCGGCUAAUUACGUGCCAGCAGCCGCGGUAACACGUAAGGGGCGAGCGUUGUUCGGAAUUAUUGGGCGUAAAGGGCAUGUAGGCGGCUAUGUAAGCCUGAUGUGAAAUCCUGGGGCUUAACCCUAGAAUAGCAUUGGGUACUGUAUAGCUUGAAUUACGGAAGGGAAACUGGAAUUCCAAGUGUAGGGGUGGAAUCUGUAGAUAUUUGGAAGAACACCGGUGGCGAAGGCGGGUUUCUGGCCGAUAAUUGACGCUGAGAUGCGAAAGUGUGGGGAUCGAACAGGAUUAGAUACCCUGGUAGUCCACACUGUAAACGAUGUACACUAGGUGUUGGGGCAAGAGCUUCAGNGCCAAAGCAAACGCGAUAAGUGUACCGCCUGGGGAGUAANGGGGGCGCAAGGGUG
rnacentral:rRNA from 1 species